rnacentral:rRNA from 1 species
AGCGAACGCUGGCGGCAGGCCUAACACAUGCAAGUCGAACGAACCUUUCGGGGUUAGUGGCGGACGGGUGAGUAACACGUGGGAACGUGCCUUUAGGUUCGGAAUAACUCAGGGAAACUUGUGCUAAUACCGAAUGUGCCCUUCGGGGGAAAGAUUUAUCGCCUUUAGAGCGGCCCGCGUCUGAUUAGCUAGUUGGUUGAGGUAAUGGCUCACCAAGGCGACGAUCAGUAGCUGGUCUGAGAGGAUGAUCAGCCACAUUGGGACUGAGACACGGCCCAAACUCCUACGGGAGGCAGCAGUGGGGAAUCUUGCGCAAUGGGCGAAAGCCUGACGCAGCCAUGCCGCGUGAAUGAUGUAGGUCUUAGGAUUGUAAAAUUCUUUCACCGGGGACGAUAAUGACGGUACCCGGAGAAGAAGCCCCGGCUAACUUCGUG